UAAAUAAAGAAAUUAACUUGGUUAAUGAAAGUCAUGAUGUAAUGAUAAUUAGUUAAAUAAAAAAAAGGCUAAGUUAAAAACUCUCCCAAAGUGGGAGGGCUAAUUGUGUAACUAGUGAAUAAAAAGGGUUAAUUGAGAAAUUAACAAAACAAAAACACAAACACUGUUGUGUUCGUGCGAACCAGGGGAGGAAGAAAGGGGAGCCAAAAACCCUAACUGCUAGAUAUCAAGAAAUUGAAGCCUAAAUCACAAGAAAAUUCGAUGCAUGGGUCCUCUUUUUCGAAAAUCUAACCCUAACUAAUGAAGUGGAACGUGUCAAGGAGAGCUCAAGCAUAGGAGGAUAACGGGUCAAGAUAAGGCAAGGUGACAAAUACACUUAUUGGAAUACUCAAGGUUAUGAAUGUCGGACUUUCGAAGUGUUGAUAUAAUAAUGAAACGGUUGAAUGUUGAAAGGAUAAUCGGAUUGAAGUAACUUAUGCGGUUAGAAUAUGCUAUGGACGUUUUAGUUUAUACAAUAUUAUAUGUUUGGUCGUCACCAUCUACUAACAGGCCAAGAGCACGCGGGUUAUGUGAAGGGUAAGCGCAAUUGUUCGGAAGGAGUGAUCCGUGAAUGCGGUCUAGGACCGGCAUCAAGGCAAGUAAUAAGACGAAUUGACCCCUGGUAAACUUGAUGAAUAGACGCGCAAUGUCACUAACCGGAAAGGAAUGAUUACCGUAAAGUAUGGAUAAUGAAUCAAUGGAAUUUACUUCCGUCAGGUACGUAUAAAAAGGGUUGUAACUUUAGUAUGAGGUUAUGACUCGACUAGAGAGGGAUGCGUCAGAAUAGAAUAUGUGUAUACAAAACCGUAAUGAAAAAUGUGAAGUGAACUUCUAAAUGUUCGUAAUGAUCAUCGAGUGAUAUUGAACCUGAAUGCUCAUAACUGUGGAAAUUCUGAUAGAAUAUAAGAGACGGCAAGUAUCGUUAAGAAAUGCUAACUUUGACGCUCGGCUUGUUGGCCAUGUUCAUUUGAACAAGAUAUUGUAGGAAAGAUACGCAUGGCACGUAUAACAAUAGUAACCAUGGAAAUGAAUAAAAUAAUGAUGACUAGGGAUUGGUUAUCACAAGAAAAUUUAAAAUCUUGAUAAGUAUGAACAAUACGUUAGGAUGCUAGUUUCAAAUUGUGGACUAUGGGAUGUGUGAUUAGUCAAUUUCUCACAACAUUCUUAUGUAAGUCGUCCAAUGUAACUUGAAUGAGUGGAUGAACGAAGAAUAAGACUAGACGGGUUGUAGAAGAAAAGAAAGAGGUUUCGGGGACGAAACCUUCUUUAAGGGGGGUAGACUUGUAACACCCCAAAAAUGAUAAAUAAUAAAUAAAGAAAUUAACUUGGUUAAUGAAAGUCAUGAUGUAAUGAUAAUUAGUUAAAUAAAAAAAAGGCUAAGUUAAAAACUCUCCCAAAGUGGGAGGGCUAAUUGUGUAACUAGUGAAUAAAAAGGGUUAAUUGAGAAAUUAACAAAACAAAAACACAAACACUGUUGUGUUCGUGCGAACCAGGGGAGGAAGAAAGGGGAGCCAAAAACCCUAACUGCUAGAUAUCAAGAAAUUGAAGCCUAAAUCACAAGAAAAUUUGAUGCAUGGGUCCUCUUUUUCGAAAAUCUAACCCUAACUAAUGAAGUGGAACGUGUCAAGGAGAGCUCAAGCAUAGGAGGAUAACGGGUCAAGAUAAGGCAAGGUGACAAAUACACUUAUUGGAAUACUCAAGGUUAUGAAUGUCGGACUUUCGAAGUGUUGAUAUAAUAAUGAAACGGUUGAAUGUUGAAAGGAUAAUCGGAUUGAAGUAACUUAUGCGGUUAGAAUAUGCUAUGGACGUUUUAGUUUAUACAAUAUUAUAUGUUUGGUCGUCACCAUCUACUAACAGGUUAGUUGUAUGAGAGUAUAUGUCAUACCCAUUUAAUUGGGUAAUCGAAUGCGUAAGAGAAAUGAAAGUACGCACACGAAUGGAACUAAAAUGACGGUUUUAUAAGCAAACAAGUAUAAUGACUAACUUUUUAAAGCUUUGUUGUUGA